GUUAAUUUGUUAUAUAUUUGAUUGUUCUUUCCGAUUUGUAAGGUGCUCAGUUUUUUCUUAUUGUUAAUUUGCUCCCAACAAGAAAUGGAUCCCAGCUGCUAGGGAACAAUGGAUGUUGGUGGUAUCGUAAAGUUACGAAAAGAGGUUCCGAAUACAUCCAUUCUCAGCAGCAAUAAUGUUCCCAUUAAGAAACUGUGGGAUGUUGGUGUUGAUAGAGCAUUGCAAAUGAUAAACAAAAACAACCCACCCCUUAUCAAGGUACGAGCAUUCAAAAAUCGCUUGAUGAUUUCAAUCUACGCUCCAUCACAGGGGCGCAAAAGAAGGGGAUAACGGUUUUGAAAGGAGAUGGCGUCAGCGAUUUCGCAUAACUUUAGGUUCACAAACAAGAUAAAUGAAGAUGACUUGAGAGUGGGUGGAUUUACUUGGCCUAAUUUAUUGGUUCUGUCCAUUGUUACUACAUUCGAAGACAAAAUCCCCUUUUAUUUUUUUCAUCUACAUGUUUCGAGGGGAAGGCUUUCUGCAUUUCUCAUGUUGGUGUAGGGUCUGAUACUAUUGUUAUUCGUGAAGUAGUUGUUAAAGUCAUGGAGCAAAAAAUGGGAAUGGGGGUGAUAGUUUUUAGUAAUGAUUUAGAGUUAAACAAGGCCUUAGUUUAUGAUGAUGUGCUGGAAAAAGUGGUAAGAACAACCGGCUGAAAAUUUUAGACCGACUGAAGUUGACAUCGAAGCCGCUAGAAGGCAAAGGUGGCGGUGGGAAAGGUGGUCUUGCCCAAGGUCAGGGCUUGAUAUCGGAGGUGGAACCGCCGAGUCCGAUGAGAUGCUUGAUCGGCCUGUAAAGAGCCCUGUGACUAUUAAUUGUGGUGAUAUUGAUGGGAAAUUUCAUGAUGUUGCUGGACUUUUUAGGUCAGUAACUGUUUAAACGUGACGGUAUGUAUUAGCUGAUCGUUUCCUUAAUUUUCAUGAUGUUGAUAUUGGUUGAAUAAUUACUCUAUUAUAUUGCUGAAAAUCUCUGAAUGGUAUUCUAUGGAUAUCAUGCUGACAUCUUCCUCGCUAUUACACAUAGUGAUAUGUCAUGCCGACAUUUACCCAGAUAAUUGACACAAUGGGUGGAACUAAAGAAUAAUAAUGCGACAGGUCAUGUAAACUGCAGACAGUUGUUAAAGAAACUCAUUUGGCUCAAUACCCUUCUCAAGUAUUGCACUAAACAACCCCAAUGAACCAGCAUUAUGCAUUUCCAAUGCUUGUGUCAUACUGUUUCUCUAGACUUCUUUUAGUUCUUUCUAAAAUUAUUUAACUUAUAAUACUUAACAUUUCCCCCACCCUGAUCCGAUAGUUGAAGUUUUAUAGUACAUGGGGUAAAUCUAUUAUAUAUAAUAAACGUAUGUGAUUUUCCUUUUCUCAAUCUUAUGUAAAUCUUGGUAAAUCUUGGCAAGCGGCAUCUUCCAGCUUCGGCGUCGAUCUCAUAGGUAGUCCAAAUGAUGGUGAUAAACGGUGAUAGUUGUUUGCGACAAAUGGAGGUGUCGGCUCUAGGGUUUCGAUUGUUGAACCCGACAAUAACGACAACCAACAUUCCCGGCGGCGAUGGACAUCCUUGAUGGUUGUGGUUAAAACGGUGGUGGCGAUUGUUCUUAAAUGCUGACUUGUAAUAUUGAUUUGGUGUUUUUAUUUUUUGCAGUGACGUUUCCAAUAACAAUCUUUGUGGCACAAUACUUGUGGAUGGUCCUUUCAUAAGUUUCCCGAUCGAAAGUUUGGAAAAACAACAGACUGAAUGGACCCGAGCUGCAAGGACUCGUAUAUUACGAUUUUGGAUGCUAAAUUACACAAAUGGUUCCGGUGGUUUGAAGCUGUGGCAAAAUAUUUACCAAUUAUCAUAGUCUUUAAAGUGACUUUUCCAAUAACAAUCUUUGUGGAUGGUCCUUUCACAACGCUGGUGGCGGUAGAGACGUAGUUGGCGACAACUAGAUUAGUGUUUCAGGCGCAAAAAGGUUGUCCAUCGACCAGUAAAUAGCAAAACUUUUGGAGUUCUUUCUUAUUUAUGAAAGGUUGUUGAUCAUCACUAUCAAAUGGUAAUGAGCAAUGGAGAUAUGGUCACUCGGAACGAAGAAAACGUUGAUGCCAAGCAUUCUUGAAAUUCAGAAGAAGCUGUUGACGUUAACGAUAUGAGAGAUACGAAGGAUACAUCGGCAAAAUCAGCCGAACCUGUUGUUGAAACUGUUCAUGGUGAUAAAGGUUGGCUUAAUGAACAAAAAGUUAACAAGUUUUCAUUUUUAAUCACAUCUUUAUAAAAAGUUAACAAGUUUUCAUAUUUUAUUCUCCGUAUGUUCCUUAACUUCUACAGUUUUUUUUUUCAAAGCUAUUUAGAAUUUUGUUGUUUUUCGAACGGUGUGUUUUGAUAAGAAGAGAGAAAGACAGAGGCGGUGUCAGAGGCACAACGCUAGCCUUUCUCCUCAACUUGCUAGGGUUCCGGCACUAUGUUCAGAUUUGUCACUUUGUUCCAAUCGCCCAAAGACAAGUAAUCACUAGGGUUGGGUUCCGGCACUGUGUUCAGAUCCUCAACUAUAUAGGUUUUUGGCAAAUUGUAAGUUCUUUGUGCUUCCUAUGUUGUUUUAAUCAAAUGUUGUUGUUAAUUAGUUUAUUAUGGAUGCGUUGUGUUAGAGAUUUAUGGCAGUACUGAUCUUGGUAAGCUUUCUAUCUAUCAUGAUUAUCUAAAUCCAUCCUUUGAUUGGUUUUGGCUUUAUAAUUUAUAUAGGGUGGAGAUAUGAUGUGUGUAAAAUGCAACAUAUAAAUUACAUCAAAUGGGGCAUAAA